GACGGGGGCCCGCACAAGCAGUGGAUUAUGUGGUUUAAUUCGAAGCAACGAGAAGAACCUUACCAGGGCUUGACAUCGUCUGCCCGAUAUAGAGAUAGAGUUUCCCUUGGAGACAGAGAGACAGGUGGAGCAUGGUUGUCGUCAGCUCGUGUCGUGAGAUGUUUGGUUAAGUCCAAUAACGAGCGCAACCCCUAUGGUCAGUUACCAUCAUUGAGUUGGGGACUCUGGCAAGAUUACCGCGGACAACCCGGAGGAAGGAGGGGAGGACGUCAAAUCAUCAUGCCCCUUAUGUCCUGGGCUCCACACGUAAUCCAAUGGCAACGCCAGAGGGCAGCAAACCCGGGAGGCAAGCAAAUCCCCAAACUUGUCUCAGUUCGGAAUCGCAGGCUGCAACCCGCCUGCACGAAGUCGGAAUUGCUAGUAAUGGCAGGUCAGCAUACUGCCGUGAAUACGUUCCCGGGCCUUGUACACACCGCCCGUCACACCAUGAGAGUCUGCAAUACCCGAAGUCAGUAGCCUAACCGGAAGGAGGGAGCUGCCUAAUUUGGGGCCGAG
rnacentral:rRNA from 1 species